rnacentral:lncRNA from 1 species
CCACUCAUUGCCGCCUUCGCUUCCCCCUUCAUCUCCACAUAAAUAUCUUUCUCUCGUUCUUUAUCUCUCUCAGUUUCUCUCUCUCUUUACACCACCAUCGUCUUCACAUAGAUUUUUACACAACCACCAUUGCCGCUCGUUGCCACCGCCGCGUCCUUCGUCUCCAGGUAAGGUUUUUUCUCACUUUUUUGUUACUUCUCUCGAUUUCUCAAAAAAAAAAAAUUCAGAUCUGUCCACCACCAACAUUGUAGCCGCCUCCUCCACUCUCUCUUUCAUUCACCAUCGUUGUUGCCACCUCCCCUCACUCCCUUUCGUUAUUUUCUGACUUUUUUUCUUUUUUUUCUCCCAGAUCUGAAGCAGCAGAAUUAACGUGACUAUAGUCUGGUUUGAAUAUGACUAUUGCUGAUUCACUGGAUUAGUGAUUAAUUAAUUUCUCGUAUGUCACGCGAAUCACCAAUACGAGUUUUUUUCUAAUUUCUCCUCGCAGCCCGUCUAGAAUUUCUCCAUUACACAAAACCAAAUUGAUCGAAGAUGCAUUUAUUUUAAUAUUGUGCUACAGUCGAGGAAUCGACGAUGGAAGGAAGAGGUGGAGAAGUGGAUACAGAUCAACUGGACGGCGAUUGAAGGGUUAGGGCUGCAUUUAGCAAUUGAAAUAAGGAGAAUCAAUUUUUGAAGUUAGAGAGAGAAGAAGUGAAUGUAAAAAUGAAGAAGGAAUGAAGAAGAAGAAGGAGGCUAUCUUCAUAAAAGUAAGAGUAAAAAUGUUAUUGAACUGUAAUUUUUAACCAUUCUUUUAUUUUAUUUUAUUUCUCUUGUCAAUUUCGCCAAACGAGACAAUUCAAUUUUGCUGAAGAAAUGGU